CAGUCGCCGCGGUAAUACGAAGGGGGCUAGCGUUGUUCGGAUUUACUGGGCGUAAAGCGCACGUAGGCGGAUCGAUCAGUCAGGGGUGAAAUCCCAGAGCUCAACUCUGGAACUGCCUUUGAUAUUGUCGAUCUGGAGUAUGGAAGAGGUGAGUGGAAUUCCGAGUAUAGAGGUGAAAUUCGUAGAUAUUCGGAGGAACACCAGUGGCGAAGGCGGCUCACUGGUCCAUUACUGACGCUGAGGUGCGAAAGCGUGGGGAGCAAACAGGAUUAGAUACCCCUGUAGUCCCUGUCUCUUAUAC
rnacentral:rRNA from 1 species